rnacentral:lncRNA from 9 species
UGGGGGUGGGCGGGGGGCUGGAGGGUACAAAAGGAGGGAGCUGGCUUUCCCAGCGCAGGGACAGAGAAGCAGGAGCAGAGGAGGAAGGAGCAGGGAGAGGUCUGAGGGGAGAUCUGAAGGGAGGUCCCGUCGGGGCAGGACGAAGGGAGAGGUAACGCUAGGAAAGAUGACAACUCGAAAGGGAGGCAGGACAAAUGAAGCAGCCCGGACACACAGAGAGAGAAAAGACAGAGGAUCCGCUUAGGGGAUGCACAUAAAGGAAAGACAACGAUGGUUUCUCUGCGUGUGACUACGAAGAUGGGGAUGAAGAAGAUACCAGUGAAAAGAAAAGGAGUAAACAAGAAAAGAGAAUGAGUAAGGAGACCAAAUAAGGACUGAGUGCCCAAGGACAGGUCAAGUGCUUAGAAAAUCACCCAGCUGGUUAGGCUGGGCUGGGAGAAGGGCCAUAGCCGGACCCGAAAGGGGACCAUCAGAAAGACAGAGGCAGGCCAUUGAAGUAGCCAGUGACGGAGGUAAAAAUGAAAAAAAAAAAAAAAAAUAGAAGAUGGAAAAGGUGAGAGGCAGGAGAGGGAAAACCCAGAGGAGACACUGGCCCAGAAACCUUUUUAACUUUCUGUAAGAAUCUUCAAGGCCCCAAACUAGGCCAGGAGUCUGACUGACAUUUCUGAGCUCACCAGCUGCUGUUUCCUUGAGAGAAUUCUGACAGGAAGGCAUAGAAAUGCAAGCCAACACUGCUAGCACUGGGGAAAAAAAAAAAAAAAAAAAAAAAGAAAGAAAGAAAAAUCCAUGCUCUAAACACCUUAAUGGGGAUGAGGCUGCCAGGGAAGAAGGCACGGAGAGAAUGGACCCGCCAGCAACUUUUCCCCAGGCUUGGACCAGCGAUGCUUGGGCGGUACCCAGGAAUCCUCACCCUAGAGGCUGCAGUCACCUCCUGCAGGAGCUGCCCCCUGCUCUGGCUGGUCAAACGGAACCAAGUCCGUCUUCCUGAGAGGUUUGGUCCCCUUCAACCAGCUAUAGCAGGGCUGGCAAAGAACAGUCCUUGGAGGAACAGAAGAGAUUCCACUGUGGCUGAAAUUACCUGCUAACAUUUCCCUUAAGAAACCAACUCUGAUUUUGUUAUCACCCUCUCAUGUUCCCAGGAAGGAAGAAGGGAGGAGGCCAGGGUUUAAAAAUGAGCCAGAUUACCAUGCCCAACACACAGAGCUCUGUGUCUGUGUCCACAACUAGACCUAUUUGCACGCUCUCGACACACAGUAAUAGUUCUAGGAUGGGAUGUGUUUUGGCCCUGGGCCAGCCAGGGGAAGAGUAUGAGCCCCAGAAGAUAGGGCUCCUGCUCCAAGGAAAGAAAUUGGGCAUAUGAGUCAGUUCCUGCUGUGGUUUAGAAGGUUAAGAACCCGGCUGUUAUUCAUGAGGAUGCGGGUUUGAUCCCUGGCCCCACUCAGUGGGUUAAAGCUCUGGCAUUGCUGCAAGCUGAGACAUAAGUUGCAAAUGAGGCUCAGAUUCAGUGUUGCCAUGGCUGUGGCAUAGGCCUGCAGCUGCAGCUCUGAUUGGACUCCUUGUCUAGGAACUUCCAUAUGCUACAGGUGCGGGCCUAAGAAGAAAAAAAG